GCUGUAGCUCAAUGGCAGAGCCACCUGCUUUGUACGCAAAAGGUCCCAGGUUCAAAUCUCAGCAUCUCCA